UACAGAGGGUUCUAGCGUUGUUCGGAAUUACUGGGCGUAAAGGGCGCGUAGGCGGUUUGUCAAGUCAGACGUGAAAGCCCCGGGCUUAACCUGGGAACUGCGUUUGAUACUGUCAGACUGGAAGGCGGAAGAGGAGAGUGGAAUUCUUGGUGUAGCAGUGAAAUGCGUAGAUAUCAGGAGGAAUACCAAAGGCGAAGGCAUCUCUCUGGUCCGUUCUUGACGCUGAGGCGCGAAAGCGUGGGGAGCAAACAGG
rnacentral:rRNA from 1 species